UUCAUUUCCACAUCACAUAAACUAAAAUUGGGGCAAUGGAUAGAUGAUUAGCAUGGCCCUUAUGUAAGGAGGACACAUAAAUUCAUAAAAUAUACUCUAUUUGU